rnacentral:lncRNA from 1 species
AAGGAGUUAUGCUGUAUGUAUUGUUCUCACUGCCUGCUAAUUGUUUUCUUCUCAGUUUCAGGAGAGCUGCUUAGUGAGUCCAUUGAAAAUCUCACUCCUGAUGAAGAGAGGAUUUGUGUUUACAGAACAGAAAUGCUGUUGCAGCAUCUGUUUCCUUCUUUGAGCUUCAUGAAGAUUGAGAACCUGGGGAAUAAGUGACUGCCAUUGCCAUUUUACCUUUAAGGAUCAUUUCACUAUGCUCACACAUUAAAGGUUUGUUUGCUUUCAGAAAGCAUUAGCCCUCAUUAAAUAGGAAUGUAUGAAAUCUGGUGUAAAUAAGCUUAAUUGGUAUGAAGGCUUGAUUGGAUUUGGGGAAGAGGUGUAGAUAUUGCCUUCUGAUGUACUUUCUAAAGAAGCCUGGCAGGGUAGCCUCAGUGGAGAGAGCUCUUAAGCAGGAAUCUGAGG